rnacentral:rRNA from 1 species
AUUGAACGCUGGCGGCAGGCCUAACACAUGCAAGUCGAACGCGUGGCGGAAGUGUGAGUAAUGUCUGUGACACUGCCUGAUGGAGGGGGAUACCUACUGGAACCGUUAGCUAAUACCGCAUAACAGUGGCUGUGCCCAGAUGGGAUUAGCUAGUAGGUGGGGUAAAGGCUCACCUAGGCGACGAUCCCUAGCUGGUCUGAGAGGGUGACCAGCCAAACUGGAACUGAGACACGGUCCAGACUCCUACGGUAGGCAGCAGUGGGGAAUAUUGCACAAUGGGCGCAAGCCUGAUGCUGCCAUGCCGCGUGUAUGAAGAAGGCCUUCGGGUUGUAAAGUACUGUCAGCGGGGAGGCGUUACCCGCAGAAAAAGCACCGGCUAACUCCGUGCCAGCAGCCGCGGUAAUAC